rnacentral:lncRNA from 1 species
GGCAAUUAAAAGGGGGUAAAAUAAUAAUUUUACAAUUAUCACAUUAAAUAAAUAAAUAAAUAAUUCGAAAAAAAUAAAAUUAAAAAUAAAAAGGGCUUCUCUUCCUAGCCAACAGUUGGACGGACGGCACACUGUUAGCAACAUUGCCUCCUCGCCAACGACUAACCGUUAUUGCCCAUAGUAGCCAUCAUCCCCAUCCUAAUCCACAAUUUUGCAUUUAAACCGUCACCACCACGGUCAACCGGUUAGCACAGCCACCACCAUUACACGUGACAAUCGCAUGUAAACCACCACCACUACAAUCAAACCAAAACCAACCACCACCAUCAAACCAAAAUGAACCACCAAAAAUUAAUUUCACUGUUAUACGACCCAACACUAUAUUUAAAUGUCGACAAUUAUUAAGCAACUUAGGGAUAGAAAAUGAUUCAAAAAUUGCGGGAAGCCGUGAGAAGUUAAGGUAAUUUAAAAUACAACACAAGCAAUACAAGAUGCUCGUGUUCGACGGAGAAGAUCUAGAGGAUCGGGUGUUUAGGGUAGGAAAUGGCCAAGUUUUUCUCACGUCAGGGAAUAAUGGUGGAUUUGGACGGAAUCUUUGAUUUUCCAUUUAAUAGUGGAGAAGAUGGCGCAAGUGGUGGGGGUGACAAUUGCUGUGGGCAAUAGUGGUUAGUCGUCAGCGAGGAGGCGACGCUGGUGUCAACAGUGUGUCGGCAUUGCUGUUGACUGGGAAGAGAAGCCCUUUUUAUUCUUUUUCUAAUUUUUUGUUUAUUUAUUU